GCCCCCGCCUCCGCCUGCCGCGCGCGGCGGGCGGGGCGGGGGCACGGGGGGCCUACGGGAGGCAGCAGUGAGGAAUAUUGGACAAUGGCCGGAAGGCUGAUCCAGCCAUGCCGCGUGAAGGAUAAGGUCCUAUGGAUUGUAA
rnacentral:rRNA from 1 species